rnacentral:rRNA from 1 species
GAUGAACGCUGGCGGCGCGCCUAACACAUGCAAGUCGAACGGUUAAGGCCCCCCUCGGGGGGCGCAUAGAGUGGCGAACGGGUGAGUAACACGUGACCAACCCGCCCCCCCCACCGGGACAACCUCGGGAAACCGAGGCUAAUACCGGAUACGCCGGGGCCCCCGCAUGGGGGCCCCGGGAAAGCCUUGGCGGGAGGGGACGGGGUCGCGGCCCAUCAGGUAGACGGCGGGGCGAAGGCCCGCCGUGCCGACGACGGGUAGCCGGGCUGAGAGGCCGAUCGGCCACAUUGGGACUGAGACACGGCCCAGACUCCUACGGGAGGCAGCAGUGGGGAAUAUUGCGCAAUGGGGGAAACCCUGACGCAGCGACGCCGCGUGCGGGAAGGAGGCCUUCGGGUCGUAAACCGCUUUCAGCAGGGAAGAAGCCUGACGGUACCUGCAGAAGAAGCCCCGGCUAACUACGUGCCAGCAGCCGCGGUAAUACGUAGGGGGCGAGCGUUAUCCGGAUUCAUUGGGCGUAAAGCGCGCGCAGGCGGCCCGCCAAGCGGCCUCGUCGAAGCCGGGGGCUCAACCCCCGGAAGCGACCCGAACUGGCGGGCUCGAGUGGGGCAGGGGAGGAUGGAAUUCCCGGUGUAGCGGUGAAAUGCGCAGAUAUCGGGAGGGACACCGACGGCGAAGGCAGCCCUCUGGGCCUUCACUGACGCUGAGGCGCGAAAGCUGGGGGAGCGAACAGG